rnacentral:rRNA from 1 species
CAAGCGGUGGAGCAUGUGGUUUAAUUCGAUGCAACGCGAAGAACCUUACCUGGUCUUGACAUCCACAGAAUCUUGCAAAGAUGCGAGAGUGCCUUCGGGAACUGUGAGACAGGUGCUGCAUGGCUGUCGUCAGCUCGUGUUGUGAAAUGUUGGGUUAAGUCCCGCAACGAGCGCAACCCUUAUCCUUUGUUGCCAUUGGCUCGGCCGGGAACUCAAAGGAGACUGCCGUUGAUAAAGCGGAGGAAGGUGGGGACGACGUCAAGUCAUCAUGGCCCUUACGACCAGGGCUACACACGUGCUACAAUGGCGUAUACAAAGGGAGGCGACCUCGCGAGAGCAAGCGGACCUCAUAAAGUACGUCUAAGUCCGGAUUGGAGUCUGCAACUCGACUCCAUGAAGUCGGAAUCGCUAGUAAUCGUGAAUCAGAAUGUCACGGUGAAUACGUUCCCGGGCCUUGUACACACC